GCCAGCUGCAAAUGGGUGGACCCAAAAAAAACGAAGACGAUGACUUUCAGCGGCGGCACGGUAGAUGAGUGGAAGAGGUUAUGGAUACCGAAGACCAUAAGCAGGUUAUGUUGGGAAGGGCAAGCGAGGCGAGCUCUGUGGAAUUUACUCGGAAGCAAUGCAUCUGGGGUUUUGCAGUGUCCACUGCAUGCAAGCCUAUUGUGCUGAAUGAAUGAUUGUACAUAAUUUGAUUCAUCAGA